UACGAGGGGAGUGAGCGUUAUCCAUAUUGAUUGGGCGUAAAGGGGUUCGUAGAUUGCAUUUUUAGUCAUUUGUGAAAUUUUGGUUAUUCCAAACAUGCAUUUGAUGCUAAUUUGCUAUGAGUGUAGAAAGGGAUAGUAGAACUUUGUAAGGAGGGGUGAAAUCCGGCGAUUUAUGAAAGAAUGCCUAAGGUGCAAACCACUAUCUAGGGGAACACUGACAUUGAGGAACGAAAGCGUAGGUAGCAAACAGG
rnacentral:rRNA from 1 species